rnacentral:tRNA from 1 species
GGGGAUUUAGCUCAGUGGUAGAGCGCUUGCCUAGCAAGCGCAAGGCCCUGGGUUCGGUCCCCCACUCCCCC